rnacentral:sRNA from 1 species
AAUUGGAUCAAUUAUCCAAUAAUUUGAUGGACCAAAUCUAAAUUCUAAAGUUUUCUCUACAAAUAUCAAUAUUUCCACUUCCUUAACAAAAUGUAGAGAUUUUCUAGAAUCAUCUUCCACCUCCUUAAACAUAGAAAAUCUAGAUAAUUUUAU